rnacentral:rRNA from 1 species
UACAUAGGUCCCAAGCGUUGUUCGGAUUCACUGGGCGUAAAGGGUGCGCAGGUGGUCGGGUAAGUCUGAUGUGAAAUCCCGCAGCUUAACUGCGGAAUGGCAUUGGAUACUAUUCGGCUAGAGGGUUGGAGGGGGGACUGGAAUUCUCGGUGUAGCAGUGAAAUGCGUAGAUAUCGAGAGGAACACCAGUGGCGAAGGCGAGUCCCUGGACAACUCCUGACGCUGAGGCACGAAAGCUAGGGGAGCAAACAGG